CAGUCGCCGCGGUAAUACGAAGGGUGCAAGCGUUACUCGGAAUUACUGGGCGUAAAGCGUGCGUAGGUGGUUGUUUAAGUCUGUUGUGAAAGCCCUGGGCUCAACCUGGGAAUUGCAGUGGAUACUGGGCGACUAGAGUGUGGUAGAGGGUAGUGGAAUUCCCGGUGUAGCAGUGAAAUGCGUAGAGAUCGGGAGGAACAUCCAUGGCGAAGGCAGCUACCUGGACCAACACUGACACUGAGGCACGAAAGCGUGGGGAGCAAACAGGAUUAGAUACCCCCGUAGUCCCUGUCUCUUAUAC
rnacentral:rRNA from 1 species